rnacentral:rRNA from 1 species
GAUGAACGCUAGCGGCAGGCUUAAUACAUGCAAGUCGUGGGGCAGCAUGAAUGUAGCAAUACAUUUGAUGGCGACCGGCAAACGGGUGCGGAACACGUACACAACCUUCCUAUAAGUGGGGAAUAGCCCAGAGAAAUUUGGAUUAAUACCCCGUAACAUAAUGAUGUGGCAUCACAUUAUUAUUAUAGCUACGGCGCUUAUUGAUGGGUGUGCGGCUGAUUAGAUAGUUGGCGGGGUAACGGCCCACCAAGUCUACGAUCAGUAGCUGAUGUGAGAGCAUGAUCAGCCAAACUGGCACUGAGACACGGGCCCGACUCCUACGGGAGGCAGCAGUAAGGAAUAUUGGUCAAUGGACGCAAGUCUGAACCAGCCAUGCCGCGUGAAGGAUUAAGGUCCUCUGGAUUGUAAACUUCUUUUAUCUGGGACGAAAAAAGGCGAUUCUUCGUCACUUGACGGUACCAGAUGAAUAAGCACCGGCUAACUCCGUGCCAGCCGCCGCCGUAACAC